GACGAACGCUGGCGGCAUGCCUAAUACAUGCAAGUCGAGCGAACAGAUGAAGUGCUUGCACUUCUGACGUUAGCGGCGAACGGGUGAGUAACACGUAAGGAAUCUACCUAUAAGCGGGGGAUAACAUUCGGAAACGGGUGCUAAUACCGCAUAAUAUCUUCUUCCGCAUGGAAGAAGAUUGAAAGACGGCUCUGCUGUCACUUAUAGAUGACCUUGCGGUGCAUUAGUUAGUUGGUGGGGUAAUGGCCUACCAAGACGAUGAUGCAUAGCCGACCUGAGAGGGUGAUCGGCAACAUUGGGACUGAGAAACGGCCCAAACUCCUACGGGAGGAAGCAGUAGGGAAUCUUCCGCAAUGGGCGAAAGCCUGACGGAGCAAUGCCGCGUGAGUGAAGAAGGCCUUCGGGUCGUAAAACUCUGUUAUAAGAGAAGAACAAAUUGUAGAGUAACUGCUACAGUCUUGACGGUAUCUUAUCAGAAAGCCACGGCUAACUACGUGCCAGCCGCCGCAGUAA
rnacentral:rRNA from 1 species